CACUUAAAAUGCAGAGGAUCCUCCUCUAUAAACAAACAAAUUUUUAGGUCGCCAUUAUAAAAGGUGAAAGAAGACACUUAGGAAGAAAAUUAGCCUGGAGCUAUUUUUUGUUUCACAAACAAAUUCAGCAAAGGGAUCAAAACCAUUUAUUUAUUUAUUUUUUAUGUCAUAGUAAUUUAAUUGUACUUUCCUUUCCCUAAAAUACAAAAAGGAGUACACAAUGAUUGCAAUAGGAAAAAUGUUACAAAAACUUAAGGAUCAAAUUGCUUCUAAAUUUAAUUUGAUUGAUUUCUGAAUAAGAAAUAUGAAUUUAGAAAUGACAUUCUUUCUAGAGAGUAUUAUAAACAACCACAAUAACAAGAAAGGAAAACUAUUGUUUUAAAGUAUGUUUGAAUGAAUAAAUGUUUUGCAGAUCACUAAUACUCAGUAACAUUCGGGAGUUCAGGGGAUGAUCUGGUUUGUAUUACACAUAUUUAUACUUUAAAAUGCCUUGUGAAUUAAUUCAAGUUUUACUACAAACAGAUGCUAAGAAAUAUGAAAAUAUGGAGAGUUUUGCUUUAUGAAGAUCAUCAUUAUCUAAGGGAUACAAUUGACCAGAUUUUGAGAAACAGAUUUGACUUUUGUUUUUCCAGAGAGCGCAGUCAGAUGAACUGGAAAAAAUUGAAAAGCAUGGCCGAUCCUCCAAAGACAAGGAAAAUGCCAAGUCUCUGGACAAACCUGAACAGACAAUAGCAGAAGCCUUCUGUCAUAUAUUGUUUCAUAUUAUCUUUGAAAUUUUGAUGAGGAUGCUGGAAAAGAACAGUGUGUCUUUCCAAUGCCAGAACUGCAGGACCUUUUUCAGGCCUCACAGAUGAAGUUUGAAGAUUUUCAAAAAGAUCUCAGAAAACUGAAGAAAGACUUAAAAAGCCAAGAGCUUGUGCUCCAUGAUACUUAUCGUGUCACCAUUGGACCCAGAUUAUGUCAUUGUUAAAAGGUAUUAAAUUUCACCUGUAAUUGUGAAAAUGGCAAGUUCUCACAGGACCUGGAACUAACUGAAAGUGUUAAGCAACCAUAGAUAUUUGACUUCAGAAGGAUAAGCAGCCUAGUGCCACUGAAUACUAUUUCCUCUUGUGUUUUCUUGAGUAAUGUGGUAGCUACAGAAGACUAAAUAUUGAAGGACCAUCUUAACAGUUUUUAAUUGCCUCAGAAGGUUAAGGAGAUGACUUUAACCAUGAGGGUUACACUUCAUAUAGAGGAAAGAGGAAAUUGAAACUCCCAUAUGCUCCAUUACCAACUUCUAACAUUUGAUAGCUCAGUAUCUCUCCCACAGGUUGUAGAAAUUUGAUCCACAGAAAUGAGAAAGUUCAUGACCAAAUGAAUAUAAAAACUGCUGGGGUUAAGUUAAAUUUUAAGGAAUCCACAGUAUUCUCCAAAAGAGCAUUUGCAAUAGUUCUCCAAUUUAUUUGACCACAGAGCACUUUCUUCACAGAAUGUGUGGUGGAUUCUAUGGUUGGUAGAACACAUUUGAACACAUUUUGAGGAAUGUGGUCCUGGUGCUAUGUUAAUAACAGAAGCAUGCACUUGCCUCUGAGGAGCUUGCAGUGAAGGUGGGGUAAUGAAACUACAGUUUGUGAAGUAAUGUAAUUAUAUGUUACUGUUCUUAUAAAAUGAGAUUAGCUUGAAGAGCUAUUUAUCAGGCUGUCAAACUCAGAAUUAAAAAUGACAAAUAAUUUACUUCAUGUUUUGCUUUUCAAAAAUUCAAGUAUUUUAACAGAAAAAUAAGGUGUCUUAGGACAUGAGGAAGGAAAUCUUGUGAAACAAAAUUUAAAUCUAAUUUCUGAGAAAUAAAGAAGUAUCAGGAGGGUUUCAAGAUGGCGGACUAGGGGGGC